UAUGGCACCCUUGUCAUUUUGGGUUCACAAAGCAAGUGCACUGUUUUCAGAGUGUCUUGCAAGAGGAAAACGAAAAAAUUCGACAGCUCCUACACAUGAUAAAUGGUAUUCAUCGAUAUGUUGACGAUAUUGGCACGGUCGACGACAUUAAAAGAUGGCCAUUCUACAUCUUGUCCUUCAAUAUACUCUGUGAGGCAAAUGGGAUCUACUACCCGCUAGAAAUUGGACUCGUAGAGUACUCAAUUGCGCAAGGUCUCAUACGAGCCUUCCACAAAUUCGUCGACCCAGGUCCAAUACCUCUUGGCUUUGCAAGUGCUGCAAAAAACCACAGUAAGUUGCACUGUUGUUUACAUUAGCUUGGAGCAGUGACUUGUUCAAUGGCACCAUGUAUAUUGGUAAUACUAUGACUCAAGUUUGAGAUUUACGUAGUCUGGUUUGUACUAUCACCAUCUUUAUGAAAGGGAAUCACAUGGCCAGUAGACUGGUCGACCACAUGUUGUGUGGUGCUGCGCCGAAAUGGGAAAACAAAAUGAGAAGGGCACCCUUCCUUUUUCUGCUUGCAUCCCCUUCAUAAGCAUUUUAAAUAUAUUCUAGUCUUUCUUGUGCAUGCCUGCAAACAUGAACAGUUUCAUGUGAAUUUGAUAUAGAAGCACUGCAUCUAUCGCAGCUUUGGAAGCGCUCGGAGUUAAAGUGUGAGUAUGACGGGCAGCUUCAUUGCCCUAACAGAUUCUUCCUCUUCUCUCUGCUCACAAGCAGUAUCAACAUAGAAAGAAGUAAGCGUGGCAGAAGAUGUGCAGACUAGAAGGAAUGGCACCGCUCUCUCUCCUUUUGUUUUGGCAUGUCGCCAUGGCACUGCACGACAUGUGGCUCGCUAGGCUAGGUGCCAUGCACUUGCAGGCUCAUUCAUAAAGAUAACAAUAGUACUU